AUUGCAGGCUGCAACUCGCCUGCAUGAAGUCGGAAUUGCUAGUAAUCGCAGAUCAGCAUGCUGUGGUGAAUACGUUCCCGGGCCUUGUACGCACCGCCCGUCACACCAUGAGAGCCGGUAACACCCGAAGUCAGUAGCCUAACCGCAAGGGGGGCGCUGCCGAAGGUGGGAUUGGUAAUUGGGGUGAAGUCGUAACAAGGUAUC
rnacentral:rRNA from 1 species